GUGCCAGCAGCCGCGGUAAUACGUAGGUGGCAAGCGUUGUCCGGAUUUAUUGGGCGUAAAGCGAGCGCAGGCGGUUCUUUAAGUCUGAUGUGAACGCCCCCCGGCUCAACCGGGGAGGGUCAUUGGAAACUGGAGAACUUGAGUGCAGAAGAGGAGAGUGGAAUUCCACGUGUAGCGGUGAAAUGCGUAGAUAUGUGGAGGAACACCAGUGGCGAAGGCGACUCUCUGGUCUGUAACUGACGCUGAGGCUCGAAAGCGUGGGGAGCAAACACGAUUAGAUACCCUGGUAGUCC
rnacentral:rRNA from 1 species